AUGUGUUUACACAGCAAAUAUGCAGGAAACCAUUGGCCGUCAGAUGACACAGACAUCUUGAAGCCACACGCCACUCACAUACCACUGAUCGUGUGUGUUUGCACGUGGAGACUAUUGUGCAAGCACUGGGAACUAUAUGUGCUGAAGGCACGGGUGCCCAAUGAAGUGUUUCAGUGGAAUUUUCAACCAGAAGCAGCUGAAAGUUUUUCCAAUUUAAUCUGCAAAUGCAGUUGGGGGAUUUUUCACAUGAAUCAACUUGUUUGGCUUGACAAACCUUCUCUGUGCUCAGUCUGGGUCUCACAAAGGUGCUCUGUGUGUAAAUUUGCAGGAGGGUGGAAGGAGGUGCAUGGAAGUUCAAGGCACAGGAAGGGGGAUUAGAAGAUAUUAUCAAUGAGCCAUUGGUUGUUUGUCAGUCAACAAAUAUAUUCACUGUAGUAAUGAUUAAAUUUGUGUAUUCUAUGUCAGAUGUAUAUGCUAGUGUUUUCGGAUUCCUAUCUGAUUGCAUAAUGGUUACAAUAUGCUGCUUUUAAUUGACAUUGAUAGCAAACCAAUAACAGAUAUCAAUUAAAGAAACUUUCUGAGAUUAAAUCGUUAAAGGAAACAUUGGAGGUAUAGUUAUUAUAAAUUGAUUUUCUGGGUUUAUUUCAUGACUCUGAUCUGUAACAUACUGGACACAAUGUUCUUGCUCUCAACGAACUAUUUCAGGGAAAUGCAAAUCAAACUGCAAUGAGAUAUCACCUCACUCCCAUCAGAAUGGCUAUAAUUAACAAGACAGGAAACAAGUGUUCGAGAGGCUACGGAGAGAAGGGAACGCUCAUACUCUAUUGGUGGGAGUGCAAACUGAUGCAGCCACUAUGGAAAACAGUAUGGAGUUUCCUCAGAAAAUUAAGGAUAGAUCUCCCAUAUGAUCCAGCUAUUCCACUGCUGGGUAUUUAUCCAAAGAACUUGAAAACAUGAAUGCAUAAAGACACAUGCACCCCUAUGUUCAUUGCAGCAUUACUCACAACAGCCAAGACUUGGAAGCAACCUAGGUGCCCAUCAAGGGACGAAUGGAUAAAGAAGAUGUGGUAUAUAUACACAAUGGACUACCACUCAGCCAUAAGAAAUGAUGAAAUCCAGCCAUUUGUGACAACAUGGAUGGACCUUGAGGGCAUUAUGCUAAGUGAGAUAAGUCAGAGGAAGAAAGUCAAAUACUGUAUGAUCUCACUCAUAAGUAGAAGAUAAAAACAACAACAAACAAUCACACAGAGACAGAGAUUGGAUUGGUGGGCACCAGAGGGGAAGGGGGGAGGGAGGAGGGUGAAAGGGGUGAUUAGGCACACGUGUGUGGUGAUGGAUGGUAAUUAGUCUUUGCGUGGUGAACAUGAUGUAAUCUACACAGAAACUGAAAUAUAAUGAUGUACACCUGUAAACAAUUUACAUAAAAAUAGCAUUCACAAUUAAAAAAACUGUUUCAAAAUGCCGUGUGAAAGAUAUUUUCUGUUUUUUUAAAGAUUUUUUUAUUUUUUAAUUUUAUUUUCCUUUUUCUCCCCAAACCCCCCCGGUACCUAGUUGUGCAUUUUUAGUUGUGAGUCCUUCCGGUUGUGGCAUGUGGGACACCACCUCAGUAUGGCGUGAUGAGCGGGGCCACGACCGCACCCAGGAUUCGAACAAGCGAAACCCUGGGCCGCCGAAGUGGAGCGCACAAACUUAACCACUAUGCAGCCGGGCCGGCCCCCAGAGAUAUUUUCUUAAAUGACCUUUCUUCAAUAGAUAAGUCUUGCUACCUCAACUUCCUUUUAUUCAUUUAUUUUUGGUUCGGUUGAAGCCAGAAGAAAAAGGAUGGAAACGUAAAACAUGGAUGGCAAAGAAGGGAAGUUUGAGAAGGGUGCAGAUGAAGUUGAUCAAAACCAGCGAUGAAAAGGGACGGAGACACACUUACUACCUGGCUAAGCAUCGAAUUAAUUACUAUUGUUGUACAUUUCUAAAGUGCCGAAAGUGUAGCUUGUUUUCAGUCAGUAAAGAUGUUCUGCCAGAGUCCCUUCCCUCCAGGGAAAUAACCCAGUGAAAUAAAACAUCUGAUUCAAGAGGGAAAAUUACA
rnacentral:lncRNA from 1 species